rnacentral:rRNA from 1 species
GAUGAACGCUGGCGGUAUGCUUAACACAUGCAAGUCGAACGGUCUCUUCGGAGAUAGUGGCGGACGGGUGAGUAACGCGUGAGAAUCUGCCUUCAGGUUCGGGACAACCACUGGAAACGGUGGCUAAUACCGAAUGUGCAGCGAUGUGAAAAAUUUAUUGCCUGAAGAUGAGCUCGCGUCUGAUUAGCUAGUAGGUGUGGUAAGAGCGCACCUAGGCGACGAUCAGUAGCUGGUCUGAGAGGAUGAUCAGCCACACUGGGACUGAGACACGGCCCAGACUCCUACGGGAGGCAGCAGUGGGGAAUUUUCCGCAAUGGGCGAAAGCCUGACGGAGCAAUACCGCGUGAGGGAGGAAGGCUCUUGGGUUGUAAACCUCUUUUCUCAAGGAAGAAUAAAUGACGGUACUUGAGGAAUAAGCAUCGGCUAACUCCGUGCCAGCAGCCGCGGUAAUACGGAGGAUGCAAGCGUUAUCCGGAAUGAUUGGGCGUAAAGCGUCCGCAGGUGGCUGUGUAAGUCUGCUGUUAAAUAGUGAGGCUCAACCUCAUAAGAGCAGUGGAAACUACAUAGCUAGAGUGCGUUCGGGGCAGAGGGAAUUCCUGGUGUAGCGGUGAAAUGCGUAGAGAUCAGGAAGAACACCGGUGGCGAAAGCGCUCUGCUAGGCCGCAACUGACACUGAGGGACGAAAGCUAGGGGAGCGAAUGGGAUUAGAUACCCCAGUAGUCCUAGCCGUAAACGAUGGAUACUAGGCGUGGCUUGUAUCGACCCGAGCCGUGCCGUAGCUAACGCGUUAAGUAUCCCGCCUGGGGAGUACGCAGGCAACUGUGAAACUCAAAGGAAUUGACGGGGGUCCCGCACAAGCGGUGGAGUAUGUGGUUUAAUUCGAUGCAACGCGAAGAACCUUACCAAGACUUGACAUGUCGCGAACCCUCUGGAAAGGGAGGGGUGCCUUCGGGAGCGCGAACACAGGUGGUGCAUGGCUGUCGUCAGCUCGUGUCGUGAGAUGUUGGGUUAAGUCCCGCAACGAGCGCAACCCUCGUUUUUAGUUGCCAGCAUUAAGUUGGGCACUCUAGAGAGACUGCCGGUGACAAACCGGAGGAAGGUGGGGAUGACGUCAAGUCAGCAUGCCCCUUACGUUCUGGGCUACACACGUACUACAAUGCUACGGACAAAGGGCAGCAAGCUAGCGAUAGCAAGCUAAUCUCAUAAACCGUGGCUCAGUUCAGAUCGCAGGCUGCAACUCGCCUGCGUGAAGGAGGAAUCGCUAGUAAUUGCAGGUCAGCAUACUGCAGUGAAUUCGUUCCCGGGCCUUGUACACACCGCCCGUCACACCAUGGAAGCUGGCAACGCCCGAAGUCAUUACUCCAACCAUUCGUGGGGGAGGAUGCCGAAGGCAGUGCUGGUGACUGGGGUG